rnacentral:rRNA from 1 species
GAAAAACUCCGGUGGUAUGAGAUGGACCCGCGUCUGAUUAGGUAGUUGGUGGGGUAACGGCCUACCAAGCCAACGAUCAGUAGCCGACCUGAGAGGGUGACCGGCCACAUUGGGACUGAGACACGGCCCAAACUCCUACGGGAGGCAGCAGUGGGGAAUAUUGCACAAUGGGGGAAACCCUGAUGCAGCGACGCCGCGUGAGCGAAGAAGUAUUUCGGUAUGUAAAGCUCUAUCAGCAGGGAAGAAAAUGACGGUACCUGACUAAGAAGCACCGGCUAAAUACGUGCCAGCAGCCGCGGUAAUACGUAUGGUGCAAGCGUUAUCCGGAUUUACUGGGUGUAAAGGGAGCGUAGACGGCUGUGUAAGUCUGAAGUGAAAGCCCGGGGCUCAACCCCGGGACUGCUUUGGAAACUAUGCAGCUAGAGUGUCGGAGAGGUAAGUGGAAUUCCCAGUGUAGCGGUGAAAUGCGUAGAUAUUGGGAGGAACACCAGUGGCGAAGGCGGCUUACUGGACGAUGACUGACGUUGAGGCUCGAAAGCGUGGGGAGCAAACAGGAUUAGAUACCCUGGUAGUCCACGCCGUAAACGAUGACUGCUAGGUG